rnacentral:tRNA from 1 species
GGGCGUAAAGUUGAGUGGUAGAGCACAUGCUUAGCAUGCAUGAGGUCCUGGGUUCAAUCCCCAGUACCUCCA